UGAGGAAUAUUGGGCAAUGCCCGCAAGGGUGACCCAGCAACGCCGCGUGGAGGAUGAAUGUCGUAAGAUUGUAAACUCCUGUUAGAGGGGAAGAAUAGUACCGGUUGGACCGGUAUAUGACUGUACCCUCAGAGAAAGCCCCGGCUAACUACGUGCCAGCAGCCGCGGUAAUACGUAGUGGGCAAGCGUUGUCCGGAUUUACUGGGUGUAAAGGGCGCGCAGGCGGGAUAAAAAGUCAGUGGUGAAAUCCUACAGCUUAACUGUAGAACUGCCUUUGAUACUUUCAUUCUUGAGUUCGGGAGAGAGAGACGGAAUUCCAGGUGUAGUGGUGAAAUACGUAGAUAUCUGGAAGAACACCAGUUGCGAAGGCGGUCUCUUGGUCCGAUACUGACGCUGAGGCGCGAAAGCGUGGGGAGCAAACA
rnacentral:rRNA from 1 species